GUCGAACGGCAGCGCGGGAAAGCUUGCUUUCCUGGCGGCGAGUGGCGGACGGGUGAGUAAUACUUAGGAAUCUGCCCACUAGUGGGGGAUAGCCCGGGGAAACUCGGAUUAAUACCGCGUAAGCCCUACGGGGGGAAGCUGGGGACCCAGCACCAUAGCCUUUUGCCAACCGCUCAAGGCGAGAAGAGGCUAUGGUGCUGGGCCUGGCGCUAGUGGAUGAGCCUAAGUCCUAUCAGCUAGUUGGUGGGGUAAAAGCCUACCAAGGCGACGACGGGUAGCUGGUCUGAGAGGAUGAUCAGCCACACUGGGACUGAGACACGGCCCAGACUCCUACGGGAGGCAGCAGUGGGGAAUAUUGGACAAUGGGCGCAAGCCUGAUCCAGCAAUGCCGCGUGUGUGAAGAAGGCCUGCGGGUUGUAAAGCACUUUCAGUGGGGAAGAAAAGCUUGGUGUGAAUAGCACCGAGUCUUGACGUUACCCAAAGAAGAAGCACCGGCUAACUCCGUGCCAGCAGCCGCGGUAAUACGGAGGGUGCGAGCGUUAAUCGGAAUCACUGGGCGUAAAGCGCGCGUAGGCGGCAGAGUAAGUCGGGUGUGAAAGCCCUGGGCUUAACCCAGGAACUGCAUUCGAUACUGCUUAGCUAGAGUAUGGUAGAGGGAAGCGGAAUUCCGGGUGUAGCGGUGAAAUGCGUAGAGAUCCGGAGGAACACCAGUGGCGAAGGCGGCUUCCUGGACCAAUACUGACGCUGAGACGCGAAAGCGUGGGGAUCAAACAGGAUUAGAUACCCUGGUAGUCCACGCCCUAAACGAUGAGAACUAGCCGUUGGAGGACCUUUGUCCUUUAGUGGCGCAGCUAACGCGAUAAGUCUCCGCCUGGGGAGUACGGCCGCAAGGUUAAAACUCAAAGGAAUUGACGGGGG
rnacentral:rRNA from 1 species